AGUACAUGUACACAUUAUUAUUAUUAUUAUGACUCACUAUAUUAUAGCUAGGAGUUAGGACCACUUGUUCUUCUCUUCAUUCAUUCAUCUUUUUCUCAUCACUUUCAGAUGCAGAGAGGGAAAGAACGACAGUGGAAUUUAAGAAACAUCGGCCCACACCUCAAUAAAGUUUACAAACGAGGAUGACAGUUUCUACAAAACAUAUGCAAAAACAGCCACAAACAACAAAUAGCACCGCCACCUAGGCCUCGAUGAGCCGGCUCACCAUGAGUUGGAAGAAAAGUGAGCUUCUGCACACUUGUCAUAGGGAAGUAGUAUAAGCCAGCAAUGCAAACUGGAAUUAAAGAGCUUCUUCAUAUGUACAACUUUCCACCAUCAAGUGGGACCGUCCUCUUCUCAUUAUGGCAACUGAACAAGCAAGUUAAUUAUUAUUUGUGUCAAAGAAUAUUGAUACAAUUAUUGUUUGAAAUCGCAAUAGGUGUGCGGUGUAAAAAUGGACCGUGCACUACUUGAUUAAUUUCAUCUGUCAAAGAUACUUCAAUUAACAAUUUGUGCACC